GUUAACAGUCGCUAAUGGAGUUGUAUAUGUGUAUUGUAUGUAUUUUUUAUGCCUUCGCGAUGCAUAUACAAUGUUGAUGUUGAAUGAUCUGUAUUAUUUGCUGUGUACGGUAGUUUCCCAUUAUGACCGCUAGAUAACAGCAUUCGUCCAUUUGUUGUAAGCGGAUUCAGUCAUAAUAUAUGCUUGUUAGUGAAUGUGUGCAUUUGACAGUAUUUUCCUGGUUAAAUUGAAAUUUACGAUAGUAAUUUAGCUUAUUCCUUUUUUGUUGUACAGACUGAAUUCAUCAUACCUUAUGCCCUGUGGAGUUACAAUUCCUCAUUUUUUGUACAUCAAGGAAGAUUUGGAUGAAUAUAAGGCAAAUUACUGGUGCUCUGAUCGGCACACCAUAGUCCUUACAAGGUGUGGCGUUUUUGUACGCUUGUGAUCUUAUUUCUGAUUACAACAAAGGAUGCUGUGAGGCUCUUAUGCGUGGUAUAACUUUACACGUCUUUAUUUUGCGUGCGCCAUUCAUCACAACACUUCUGCGUGCUCGUGCGCAUGUGCGCCGUAGCUCAGGCAUAUAAACGUAAACACGUCUGUGAAUAGGCACAUACGUAAUAUUUCACUUUACGUGACACAAGGAACUAGCCCUUUAAAGGGGAACUUUGAAGUAAGGUUGGCCAACCAUGUUUUUGAAUAAUAUCAAUGGCUAAACAAUUAUAAGCAUAUUUUCAUUAUUUUUUUAACGCAACCCUACCAGAUUCUUUGUUUAACCCAUAGCAACGCCCUUGACAACGAAAAUGCUUUUCUUCGACAAUCUUCAGAAAUUACGUCACACCUAGACGUGCGAGGGAAGUCCACCAUAGAACAGUAUUGUUUGUUGCAUUGCUUCUCGGUAAGAUGCCACGGCGGUGUGUGGCGAUGUUUUGUUCUCACUCAAACGAAAAGUUGUAUGAGUGGCCAAAGGAUAGCAGGGCACGUAAAUGGACAUAUUUCGUUCGCACGAAGCGAAUGAAUUUCAUGCCAUCAUCGAGUAGUGUUCUCUGCUGCAAACACUUCGAAGAUGCCUGCUUCCUUAACCGGUCUGCUUAUGAUCAAGGAUUUUCCAAAAAGAGACCACAUCUGACAGCAGUGUCUCUCACAGCUCUGUUCGCAGCACUGUUAAGAGAUCAUUGGAUAAUGUGGACUCAAGUGGGCUUUCGAAAUCGACCCCCGAGGAGUACCUGGUUUGGAGGCAGUGGAUGAUCUGGCUGUGUUUGUUAGCCUGAACUGAAAUGUCACAGCACUGUCAACACAUGAAAUCUCCCAGAUAUUGAAGCUGUACUCCCGCCUGCAUCCAUCUGACAAGGCUUCGCCAAAAUAUUCAUUAAAAUCAAAAAAGAAACUCUUGAUGGUGCCACUACUGAUAGAUCCAUGCUUUCAUGUUGUUGACGCCAAAUUCUGACCCUACCAUCCGAAUGUCGUAGCAGAAAUUGAGACUCAUCAGACCAGGCAACGUUUUUCCAAUCUUCUAUUGUCCAAUUUUGAUGAGCUUGUGCAAAUUGCAGCCUCAGUUUCCUGUUCUUAGCUGAGAGGAGUGGCACCCGGCGUGGUCUUCUGCUGCUGUAGCCCAUCUGCCUCAAAGUUCGACGUACUGUGCGUUCAGAGAUGCUCUUCUGCCUACCUGGGUUGUAACGGGUGGUUAUUUGAGUCACUGCUGCCUUUCUAUCAGCUCAAACCAGUCUGGCCAUUCCCCUCUGACCUCUGGCAUCAACAAGGCAUUUCCGCCCACAGAACUGCCGCUCACUGGAUAUUUUUUCUUUUUCGGACCAUUGUCUGUAAACCCUAGAGAUGGUUGUGCGUGAAAAUCCCAGGAGAUUAGCAGUUUCUGAAAUACUCAGACUAGCCCUUCUGGCACCAACAACCAUGCCAAGUUCAAAGUCACUCAAAUCACUCAAAUCACCUUUCUUCCCCAUACUGAUGCUCGGUUUGAACUGCAGGAGAUUGUCUUGAACCAUUUCUACAUGCCUAAAUGCACUGAGUUGCCGCCAUGUGAUUGGCUGAUUAGAAAUUAAGUGUUAACGAGCAGUUGGACAGGUAUACCUAAUAAAGUGGCCGGUGAGUGUAUAUUAAAUGCAUCUUACCAGAUAUAAAAUGACUACUACAUAAUCUGUGGUGAUCGUUUGGUGCCCAUUUCUCGUCUAUAGACCCCACUCGCAUGACGUCACAACCACGCCUCCGCGUCAUAUUGCCCGUCAGCUCGUCGUGUUUACGCAUUACCGCUACGUAAAUUCCUCCUGUUAUGGCGUGUUUUUCUGCUCGUUAACAUUAAUAAUCAAAAUGAUGAAGGCGUGUGUGGCGGUUGGUUGCCGUAACAGAGAAGAUAGACGGAGAUACUUGAAGUUCUACCGUAUUCCGAGAGACCCGGAGAGCGAGAUGGACUGCUGCAAUUCGACGAGAAAACUGGGCACCAAACGAUCACCACAGAUUAUAAAGUAGUCAUUUUAUAUCUGGCAAGAUGCAUUUAAUAUAUAUUUAGAGGGUUUUGGGCUGACAACCACAAUAAAGAUCAUUGCGAGGCUAAUCGCCGACAACAUACAGUUUCAAAUUCAAGAUGUUUAUUUCUUCCGCCAUCAUUAUUUUUUAAAUAAUAUUUAGCUGCUACCAAGUGAAAGAAGCUGGCCUCGUCCCCGGAUCAUCAGUUAAACAGGGGUGUCCAAACUUUUUGCAAAGGGGGCCAGAUUUGGUGUAAAAAUGUGGGGGGCUACUUUGGCUGAUUUACGUAGAACAAUAUAUUUAAACAAAUUUUAGCAAGCCCUUAUGUGUGUCACAUUUGCUUUAUUAUUAUUAUUUUAAUAAUUUCAACAAUCUCGCCUUUGUAGCGUUCUCUUUCGACACUCGGGCUCUUGCGAAAUACUGCUGCUGUGAAAUUAAACUAGCUUCAAGUUGCUAUAAUUUCUCGCUGCGUAUCUUCCCUGCAAUGUACAUGUCAGCGUGUCUGGUUUGGUAAUAUCGCGUCACAUCGAACUCUUUGAAAACAGCGACUGUCUCUUUGCAAAUGAGGCAGACACAGUUGUUGCGUAUUUUAUUGAAGAAAUAGUCCAAUAUCCACCUAUUCUUGAAGCGCUGGCCAUCGCAGUCAACUUUUUUUUAUAUUGAUUAUCGCCAUUUUAGAAAAUUGGAAGUAAAGGGUCACACGGGGUAAUGUUGCUUAGAGUGCUGCUCUUAAAGUUUUUCAAAGUUUCGUGAGAGUAGGCUGGGUUUCUGUGGACAAGAUAGUUGUAGAUAUCAGGGUAGCAGAUGUCAGGCAGAGACGGUGAAGACAGCGGGUCGAAAAAUAUCGAUUUAGGCAUCAAAUAUGGAUCUGGCGAAUGGAUAGACUGAAGCUUUUCCACAUAACGCCUUUUAUGCAACGCAUCCAAUGAGUUUACAGCGUCUGAAAGCAUCGGGGCUUUCAUGAAUUGCACUAUAAAUUGCACGACAAAUUGAAACCAUUGAGAAUACAGAUAAACAAUGACGGACAAUAUGGCGGCCGGAUACAGCAACACGUCAUUGUGUGACGUUGGUGAGUGGGUCUAUUGACAAGUUUCCUGAGCGAAGCAUGGGCGGGGCCAUCUUUGACAUUUUCUGCUACAGAUUUCCAACUUAGGCAGAACGACAUGAAGUGUGGCUGAAGUAAGCAGCGUUAGACAAAUUGUAAAAUCAAACCAGAGCAACCCACAGAAUCAUCAAAAAUGGAUUCAGCAUUUUCUGGGCUGUGCGUGGUUGUGUCAACUCGUGGAAGCGCCUACAUACACUACACGGUUGGAAGCUGAAUGUUUUGAUCAGCGACCAGCUGUUAGAAAAGGACCAGUGCGGACCUAACUCGCCAUAUUCCUUAAAUCGAAUGCAUCAGUAGAUAAUAAGUUAAGGAUGUGGCACGCUUAAAAAAUAUUUUAUCAGUUCGUUGAUCGUUCGUGGACAAAAUUCCAACAGUCUGUGCAACCUGUGUUAAUACGAGGUGGAGAUUGAUACACCUGCCACCUGAGUGACCAAAAUGAGGCGAAAUUACAAAUAAUAUGACAGAUUAGAUUAUAGUUAUGAUAUUAUAAGCUCAUUACCCAUGUGGAUCCAUAUAAACACAAGCAAUAUGUAAUUCUUUUAUUUACUGCAGAUAUUGGUCACAAUAAAACUUUUGGACAACAUAAUUCCAUUUCUUAUCUUGUUUUUAAUAAUUUGUGCAUGUGCAAAACAGGUCAAUAAAUCACAAUUUAUAAAAUUAUUAGAAAAAAUAUUAACGUAGGUGGAGCAUAACUCGAGCCUUCCAUCAUCAGUCAUCCACAACUUAAGGCAGCGUGUGUAAAAAGUUGAAUGCACGUCGUCUCGAUAUAUGUCCAUCAACGUAAAGUAAGUUGUUGUGGCACAUCAAAUUGUCUUCCUUUGCCGAACAGCGUUUCCACCUGUAAACAAUUAAAUUGGAACACUUGCAUUUUGUGUGACUUGUAAUAGAUGAGUGUUUUCCAUUUCUUUAUUGUUGUAUAACUUCCGUUUAGCAAAGCUAAUGAUGUCUCAGCUGUGACACAAAACAGAAUUGUCGUCAAAUUGAACAUAAUUGUCCAUUCUUACUCAGACAUUACAUGUACAGAUUAGCAGCAGUUACGAAUAUAGCUUAGUAGUUAGCAUGUGUUGCAGCCACAACAGUAGUUGCAGUAAAUAAUAUUAAACAUCAUCAUAAUUACAAUCAUCGUCUUGGUUCCACAUCUGCCUCCAUGAAAACAAAA